GCACUGCUGCUGAGUCCGAUAAUAGGACGAAACGGCCGUCCAAUGC
rnacentral:hammerhead_ribozyme from 1 species